rnacentral:rRNA from 1 species
AGCAGCCGCGGUAAUUCCAGCUCCAAUAGCGUAUAUUAAAGUUGUUGCAGUUAAAAAGCUCGUAGUUGAAUUUCGGGGUUAGUAGGUUGGUCAUGCCUCUGGUAUGUACUGGUCUCACUGAUUCCUCCUUCCUGAUGAGCCGUAAUGCCAUUAAUUUGGUGUGGCGGGAAAUCAGGACUGUUACUUUAGAAAAAAUUAGAGUGUUUAAAGCAGGCUCGCGCUUGAAUACAUUAGCAUGGAAUAACGAAAUAGGACGUUUGAUCUUAUUUUGUUGGUUUCUAGGAUCGACGUAAUGAUUAAUAGGGAUAGUUGGGGGCAUUAGUAUUCAAUUGUCAGAGGUGAAAUUCUUGGAUUUAUUGAAGACUAACUACUGCGAAAGCAUUUGCCAAGGAUGUUUUCAUUAAUCAAGAACGAAAGUUAGGGGAUCGAAGACGAUCAGAUACCGUCGUA